UACGGAGGGUGCAAGCGUUAUCCGGAAUCACUGGGUUUAAAGGGUGCGUAGGCGGUUAGUUAAGUCAGUUGUGAAAUUCCCUCGCUUAACGAGUGGGACUGCGAUUGAUACUGAUUAACUUGAAUCAGGUUGAGGUAGGCGGAAUGAGACAUGUAGCGGUGAAAUGCAUAGAUAUGUCUUAGAACACCGAUUGCGAAGGCAGCUUGCUGGACCUGUAUUGACGCUGAGGCACGAAAGCGUGGGGAGCAAACAGG
rnacentral:rRNA from 1 species